UAGCUAGUUGGUGAGGUAAAGGCUUACCAAGGCGACGAUCUGUAGCGGGUCUGAGAGGAUGAUCCGCCACACUGGAACUGAGACACGGUCCAGACUCCUACGGGAGGCAGCAGUGGGGAAUUUUGGACAAUGGGGGCAACCCUGAUCCAGCCAUGCCGCGUGAGUGAAGAAGGCCUUCGGGUUGUAAAGCUCUUUCGGCCGGGAAGAAAUCGCAUGGGCCAAUACCCUGUGUGGAUGACGGUACCGGAAUAAGAAGCACCGGCUAACUACGUGCCAGCAGCCGCGGUAAUACGUAGGGUGCGAGCGUUAAUCGGAAUUACUGGGCGUAAAGCGUGCGCAGGCGGUUUUGUAAGACAGGCGUGAAAUCCCCGGGCUUAACCUGGGAACUGCGUUUGUGACUGCAAGGCUAGAGUACGGCAGAGGGGGGUGGAAUUCCACGUGUAGCAGUGAAAUGCGUAGAGAUGUGGAGGAACACCAAUGGCGAAGGCAGCCCCCUGGGUCGAUACUGACGCUCAUGCACGAAAGCGUGGGUAGCAAACAGGAUUAGAUACCCUGGUAGUCCACGCCCUAAACUAUGUCAACUAGGUGUUGGGUGGGUAAAACCAUUUAGUACCGUAGCUAACGCGUGAAGUUGACCGCCUGGGGAGUACGGCCGCAAGGUUAAAACUCAAAGGAAUUGACGGGGACCCGCACAAGCGGUGGAUGAUGUGGAUUAAUUCGAUGCAACGCGAAAAACCUUACCUACCCUUGACAUGCCAGGAACUUGCCAGAGAUGGCUUGGUGCCCGAAAGGGAGCCUGGACACAGGUGCUGCAUGGCUGUCGUCAGCUCGUGUCGUGAGAUGUUGGGUUAAGUCCCGCAACGAGCGCAACCCUUGUCGUUAAUUGCCAUCAUUUGGUUGGGCACUUUAACGAGACUGCCGGUGACAAACCGGAGGAAGGUGGGGAUGACGUCAAGUCCUCAUGGCCCUUAUGGGUAGGGCUUCACACGUCAUACAAUGGUCGGUACAAAGGGUUGCCAAGCCGCGAGGCGGAGCCAAUCCCAGAAAGCCGAUCGUAGUCCGGAUUGCAGGCUGCAACUCGCCUGCAUGAAGUCGGAAUCGCUAGUAAUCGUGGAUCAGCAUGUCACGGUGAAUACGUUCCCGGGUCUUGUACACACCGCCCGUCACACCAUGGGAGCGGGUUCCGCCAGAAGUAGGUAGCCUAACCGCAAGGAGGGCGCUUACCACGCGGGGUUCGUGACUGGGGUGAAGUCGUAACAAGGUAGCCGUAGGGGAACCUGCGGCUG
rnacentral:rRNA from 1 species